GAUGAACGCUGGCGGCGUGCCUAAUACAUGCAAGUCGAGCGAACAGACGAGGAGCUUGCUCCUCUGACGUUAGCGGCGGACGGGUGAGUAACACGUGGAUAACCUACCUAUAAGACUGGGAUAACUUCGGGAAACCGGAGCUAAUACCGGAUAAUAUAUUGAACCGCAUGGUUCAAUAGUGAAAGACGGUUUUGCUGUCACUUAUAGAUGGAUCCGCGCCGCAUUAGCUAGUUGGUAAGGUAACGGCUUACCAAGGCGACGAUGCGUAUCCGACCUGAGAGGGUGAUCGGCCACACUGGAACUGAGACACGGUCCAGACUCCUACGGGAGGCAGCAGUAGGGAAUCUUCCGCAAUGGGCGAAAGCCUGACGGAGCAACGCCGCGUGAGUGAUGAAGGUCUUCGGAUCGUAAAACUCUGUUAUUAGGGAAGAACAAAUGUGUAAGUAACUAUGCAAGUCUUGACGGUACCUAAUCAGAAAGCCACGGAUAACUACGUG
rnacentral:rRNA from 1 species